rnacentral:miRNA from 1 species
AUCUAAUAUCAAUGUCGGCCU